AUGGUCGGCUCUUCUGAGGCACAAAGGCCUCGAGUCCUGGUGUUGGUAUGGCCUGGCCUCCACGGUGCACCCCUGCUGGUGGAUGGCUCAGGACGGGGCAGUUGCCUUGAGAGGCCCGCUGCAUGCUGCCACAACAGAUGGUCGAUUCUUACAAGCAACGGAGUCCCCAUGGAGUCGUGGAGUCAGUGUGGCCUGGCAUCCAUCGUGCACCUUGUGGUGGCAGGUGGCUCAGGGCGGGGCAGUUAUCAUGGGACAUCCGCCAUACGCUGGCAAGGAAGAUGGUCAGUUCUUCUGGUCCACAAAGGCCCCCGGAGUCCUGGAAUGGUUGAUUCUUCCAUGCAACGGAGUCCCCAUGGAGCCGUGGAGUCAGUGUGCCCUGGCAUACAUGGUGCACCGCAUGCUAGCAGGUGGCUCAGGACGGACAGUUAUGAUGGGACGUCCCCCAUAACCUGGCAAGGAAGAUGGUUGGCUCUUCUGAGGCACAAAGGCCUGGAGUCCUGGUGUUGGUAUGACCUGGCCUCCACGGUGCACCCCUGCUGUUGGAUGGCUCAGGACCGGGCAGUUGCCUUGAGAGGCCUGCUGCAUGCUGCCACAACAGAUGGUCGAUUCUUACAAGCAACGGAGUCCCCAUGGAGUCGUGGAGUCAGUGUGGCCUGGCAUCCAUCGUGCACCUUGUGGUGGCAGGUGGCUCAGGACGGGGCAGUUAUCAUGGGACAUCCGCCAUACGCUGGCAAGGAAGAUGGUCAGUUCUUCUGGUCCACAAAGGCCCCCGGAGUCCUGGAAUGGUUGAUUCUUCCACGCAACGGAGUCCCCAUGGAGCCGUGGAGUCAGUGUGCCCUGGCAUACAUGGUGCACCGCAUGCUAGCAGGUGGCUCAGGACGUUAUGAUGGGACGUCCCCCAUAACCUGGCAAGGAAGAUGGUCGGCUCUUCUGAGGCACAAAGGCCUCGAGUCCUGGUGUUGGUAUGGCCUGGCCUCCACGGUGCACCCCUGCUGGUGGAUGGCUCAGGACGGGGCAGUUGCCUUGAGAGGCCCGCUGCAUGCUGCCACAACAGAUGUUCGAUUCUUACAAGCAACGGAGUCCCCAUGGAGUCGUGGAGUCAGUGUGGCCUGGCAUCCAUCGUGCACCUUGUGGUGGCAGGUGGCUCAGGGCGGGGCAGUUAUCAUGGGACAUCCGCCAUACGCUGGCAAGGAAGAUGGUCAGUUCUUCCGGUCCACAAAGGCCCCCAGAGUCCUGGAGGGCUGUGCCCUGGAGAGACCUGCCAUGUGCUGCCGCAACAGAUGGUUGAUUCUUCCAAGCAACAGAGUCCCCAUGGAGUCAUGGAGUCAGUGUGCCCUGGCAUCCAUGGUGCACCCCGUGCUAGCAGGUGGCUCAGGACCGGGCAGUUAUCAUGGGACAUCCCACAUAUCCUGGCAAGGAAUGUGGUCCAUUCUUCUGAGCCGCAAAGGCCCCCAGAGUCCUGGAGUCAUUAUGGCCUGGCAUCCAUGGUACACCCCUGCUGAUGGAUGGCUCAAGAUGUUGCCUUGA
rnacentral:lncRNA from 1 species